rnacentral:rRNA from 1 species
CCUACGGGGUGCUGCAGUGAGGAAUAUUGGUCAAUGGGCGUAAGCCUGAACCAGCCAAGUCGCGUGAGGGAUGAAGGUUCUAUGGAUCGUAAACCUCUUUUAUAAGGGAAUAAAGUGUGGGACGUGUCCUAUUUUGUAUGUACCUUAUGAAUGAGGAUCGGCUAACUCUGGGCCCGCAGCCGCGGUAAUACGGAGGAUACGAGCGUUAUCCGGAUUUAUUGGGUUUAAAGGGUGCGUAGGCGGCCUUGUAAGUCUGCGGUGAAAGGCUGUGGCUCAACCAUAGAAUUGCCGUUGAAACUGGGGGGCUGGAGUAUGUGUGAGGCAGGCGGAAUGCGUGGUGUAGCGGUGAAAUGCUUAGAUAUCAGGCAGAACCCCGAUUGCGAAGGCAGCCUGCCAAGCCAUGACUGACGCUGAUGCACGAAAGCGUGGGGAUCAAACAGGAUUAGAUACCCCAGUAGUC